rnacentral:tRNA from 1 species
GCCGAAGUGGCGGAAUGGCAUACGCGGCGGUCUCAAAAACCGCUGAGUUUACGCUCGUGUGGGUUCGACUCCCACCUUCGGCACUA